rnacentral:misc_RNA from 1 species
GAAAUGCGAUAAGUAAUGUGAAUUGCAGAAUUCCGUGAAUCAUCGAAUCUUUGAACGCACAUUGCGCCCCCUGGUAUUCCGGGGGGCAUGCCUGUCCGAGCGUCAUUGCAGACCCCUCACGCCCGGCGUGUGUGUUGGGCCAUCGUCCCCUUGACUGUGUGGACGGGCCCGAAAGGCAGUGGCGGCACCGAGACCUUCGGCUGUCCUGAGUGUAUGGGCAACCCCUAGACCGCUCCGUGACCCGAUCGGUGGCCGACCGUCAGAUCGUGAGAUCGAAAACAUUUCUUUCCGGUUUGACCUCGGAUCAGGUAGGAAUACCCGCUGAACUUAA